rnacentral:lncRNA from 1 species
AUCAGAGCGUGGUUGAAAGUAUGUAAAGUGUUGUAGGAAAAAUUUUGCAAAAGAUUUAAUGACUGGAGAAUUUCAGGAAAAGUAUCAAAAGUCAUAGGUACUUCCUUUAUUUCCCAAAUUCCCAUUUUUUUGUUUUCUUUUAAUUUCAAUAUGCACAUACAUUUAGUAUAUUAAGAACAUUCAAGUCAGGAGCCUGUGAUUCAGUGGUUGUCGUUUGUUUAUGUCUAAGCC